CCCUAGGAUCUCUGACUUUGGGUUGGCAAGAAUUUUCGCUGGUGAUGAGAAAGAAGUAAAGACAAGGAGAAUCAUCGGAACCUAUGGCUAUAUGUCCCCUGAGUAUGCAUUCGAUGGAAAAUUCUCUGUGAAAUCCGAUAUCUUUAGCUUUGGCGUGCUUUUGUUAGAGAUUGUAAGUGGCAAAUGAAACAGAGGAUUCUGCCACCCAAGUCAUCAACAUAACCUUCUUGGACAUGCAUGGUUGCUUUGGAGUGCAAACAGAGCCACGGAACUCAUUGAUGGAUGCUUGUAUGAUCUGGUGGAACCUCAAGUACAAAGAUGUAUCCAUAUCGGCUUGUUAUGUGUGCAGAAGUUCGCCAACGAUAGACCAACGAUGUGCUCUAUUGUUGCCAUGUUAGGAAAUGAAAGUGCAAGCUUGCCUCGACCUAAAC